GGCCCUGCAGUGUUAGGCACGUAAGGUUGCAAACCUUAAAGCGCAGGGUAAAGCCUGCCCGGGCUU
rnacentral:tRNA from 1 species